rnacentral:rRNA from 1 species
UCGACCGCCUGGGGAGUACGGCCGCAAGGUUAAAACUCAAAUGAAUUGACGGGGGCCCGCACAAGCGGUGGAGCAUGUGGUUUAAUUCGAUGCAACGCGAAGAACCUUACCUGGUCUUGACAUCCACAGAACUUUCCAGAGAUGGAUUGGUGCCUUCGGGAGCUGUGAGACAGGUGCUGCAUGGCUGUCGUCAGCUCGUGUUGUGAAAUGUUGGGUUAAGUCCCGCAACGAGCGCAACCCUUAUCCUUUGUUGCCAGCGGUCCGGCCGGGAACUCAAAGGAGACUGCCAGUGAUAAACUGGAGGAAGGUGGGGAUGACGUCAAGUCAUCAUGGCCCUUACGACCAGGGCUACACACGUGCUACAAUGGCGCAUACAAAGAGAAGCGACCUCGCGAGAGCAAGCGGACCUCAUAAAGUGCGUCGUAGUCCGGAUUGGAGUCUGCAACUCGACUCCAUGAAGUCGGAAUCGCUAGUAAUCGUGGAUCAGAAUGCCACGGUGAAUACGUUCCCGGGCCUUGUACACACCGCCCGUCACACCAUGGGAGUGGGUUGCAAAAGAAGUAGGUAGCUUAACCUUCGGGAGGGCGCUUACCACUUUGUGAUUCAUGACUGGGGUGAAGUCGUAACAAGGUAACCGUAGGGGAACCUGCGGUUGGAUCACCUCCUUACCUUAAAGAAGC